rnacentral:misc_RNA from 1 species
UUUCCGUAGGUGAACCUACGGAAGGAUCAUUAUUACUUAAUCAAAAAACAAGGCCUUUCGCUGCUCCGAUAGGUCGUCCACGCCCGAGUACCCUCCCACACAUCCAUCUCACCCCUAUGUGCACCAACGCGUAGGUCCCCCUUGCCUUCUUUCGAGGGGGGCUUACGUAUUCACACAUACUUUUUAUGAAGACUAGAAUGUAUUUUUUGUUUUUGCGAUCCCGCAAUCAAUACAACUUUCAACAACGGAUCUCUUAGCCCUCGCAUCGAUGAAGGAAGC